CAGCAGCAGCCACGGUAAAACGAAGGGUGCAAGCGUUAAUCGGAAUUACUGGGCGUAAAGCGUGCGUAGGCGGUGAGUUAAGUCUGCUGUGAAAUCCCCGGGCUCAACCUGGGAAUGGCAGUGGAUACUGGCUCGCUAGAGUGUGUCAGAGGAUGGUGGAAUUCCCGGUGUAGCGGUGAAAUGCGUAGAGAUCGGGAGGAACAUCAGUGGCGAAGGCGGCCAUCUGGGACAACACUGACGCUGAGGCACGAAAGCGUGGGGAGCAAACAGGAUUAGAGACCCCCGUAGUCCCUGUCUCUUAUAC
rnacentral:rRNA from 1 species